GGGGCAGUGUGUUAUAUUUGGGGGCUGUGCGUUAGAUGGUGAGCUGUACAGUACGUGGUCUGUGUGUUAGAUGUGUACAACCCUAGUUUCACAGAAAAAUAUUUAUUUCCUAGAUAUCAUAUGCCAUGGCAUGCUUUUUGCUAUGAAACCGCAGCCAUCUAGUCACUCGCCAGAGAAGGAUGAGAAACUGCACCCCAGCGAGAGGGACAGCCCCACAUCUGCAACCAAAUCCGUCGGUCACCGAAUUCAGUAAUCUCCGUCUCUUUGUGCAUUGUGUAUGUAUGGUACUCCCAAUUCUUAUAUUUAAUCCGGUGUGUCUCCCACAAUCUUUGUGUCUGUCUGCUGUAUGUAUGUGGCACGCAAGUCUGCAUGCACUGUGUCUGUUAUGCCAGUUACUCUAACCAGUUUAUUUCUUUUUGUGUGUGUCACAGCUCUGACGAGCAUGUUCUCCUAUGGGACACAAAGUACAUGAAGAGGAAUGAAGAAGCCCAUGUUUGAUGCUCGUCUCCAGGGUGGAGUAUUUAAUUUAUAACUAAUGAAGUGGCAUCUGACACAUGACAAGCUGCUCCUAUUUGCACAGCAACUUCAACAUUGUGUACUGUGAUCACGGCAUAGUUCAGAGGUAGGUAACCUUGGGCAGUCCAGAUGCUGUGAAUUACAUCUCCCAUAAUGCUGGCAAACCAUUAUGGGAGGUGUAGUGCAAAACAUCUGGAAUACCGAAUGCGGAUGAAUGCAAAGUAUGGUGUGUGUGAAUGGUCAGUAACAAGGGUUGAAGCCUUGACGUGCCGUUACUGCUCACAUGUGUAUUCAUGUGCCAAUUCAACCAAUGUGAGUCACUGUAAUACUUAUAAGGUAACCAAAAGUACUGUGAUUGUGGAGAAUGAAACGCCUGUAUCACCUAAACACUGCUCACACUGUGACCGUAUCUCCUAAACACUGCUUACAUUGUGACCGUAUUUCCUAAACACUGCUUACACUGUGACCGUAUCUCCUAAACACUGCUCACACUGUGACCGUAUCUCCUAAACACUGCUCACACUGUGACCGUAUCUCCUAUACACUGCUGACACUGUGACCGUAUCUCCUGUACACUGCUUACACUGUGACCGUAUCUCCUAAACACUGCUCACACUGUGACCGUAUCUCCUAAACACUGCUCACACUGUGACCGUAUCUCCUAUACACUGCUGACACUGUGACCGUAUCUCCUAUACACUGCUGACACUGUGACCGUAUCUCCUAUACACUGCUUACACUGUGACCGUAUCUCCUAAACACUGCUCACACUGUGACCGUAUCUCCUAAACACUGCUCACACUGUGACCGUAUCUCCUAAACACUGCUGACACUGUGACCGUAUCUCCUAUACACUGUGACCGUAUCACCUAAACACUGCUUACACUGUGACCGUAUUUCCUAAACACUGCUUACACUGUGACCGUAUUGUCAGGGUAUUUAUAUCGGCAGACAUCUUGUGCUAUGAUAGAAAUUAAAAGUGUAUAUUCUGAGUCACUCUAAACAGACCAGACUCCAUUUUGUUAUUUUCAAGUUAACAAAAAGACACAAGAUUUCUAUCUGUAAAACUAACCACUUUCCCAGAGCUAAAGGAAUGCAUAGUAUAUACAAACCAAGUGAUAAGGAGAACGGGGGUUGGACAGACUGUCUAAAAUCUUAAUGGAAUAGAUGCAUAUCUAAACACAGACAUUUGUGGCAGAGGAGAUUAAAUAAUAAAAUUUUACUUUCUAUAUGUACAAGGUCCCAUUGUAAGUUACGGGUCAAAACUCAGAAUUUGCUAGACACAUAGUCUGGACAAAACUUAAAGAAACUGUUUGAUCUGACAGGAAAUGUAAGUUAUGGUCACGAUAUAGAUAAAGCCAAAAUGACGUCAAAAUAGCCACCAGGAAAAGUUAACUCUUUCCUGGAUAGGUAUGUUUAGUGGGACAAGACUGCCCUCUAUAGAUCAAAUAACUAAAUUGCGAUCUGGAAGAUAACCACACCCCCAGUGUUGCUAUUGGUUUACCAACUAGUGAAUUUUCCCUUUAAAAAGUUAAGACAAAGAGGGGGAAGAGGUAGACGGAGGAAUAGAAGGGUAUGCAAAGAAAGCAAAGAAGUGAGCAGUGGGGAGCAAUGACACUCUAGGACACUCAGAAAUUCCAACACACCUCCAUGCAGAGAGACAUCCAAAUAAGUUCCUGAGACUAUCUACCAAUCGGAUGAAAUAUCUACUCAACUGGUAAUUAUACUGGUUUCAUUUAAUUAAUUAAAUUAAUUAAAAUUUACUAACAGCAUGAUAUAUGACUGGAUAAAUCACGGUCAGAUUUCCAUAUUUAAGAAAUCUUAGUUAACUAAAGAAUAUAUAGUUAUAAACAUUCCAUUCUGCAGGUGGAAUUAAGAAUAAUUAUAUAUUGAUGUGAUAUUAUCACGUGUUAGCAUACCGCUGUUUUUAUCCAGGUGUAUUGAUUUGUUCUAAUAUAAGAUAAGAUAUCUUUUUAGACAAAUUAAAUUCUGCUUUUGUAAAAAUUAUGGUAGAUUCUCUUAUUGGAUGGUUCCAGGAAAUGACUAAUGAACUGGUUUAAAUGUUAUUUUAUUUAAAAUUACAUAAGAAUAGAUCUUAAUUACCUAGGAGGUCUAGCCAGCAUUUAAAGGGUUAUUCUAACUGUUAGCCAGGGUUUUAUGGCCCUUCGCUGUGAAAAGCUUCACUUUCAGUCUGUGAAAGAUAGUCAUAAAUCGUGUAAGUCUUGACAGAAAAUGCUGUUUAGCCAUUGAAACGUGUAUACCCAUUCCAUUGUAUUGCAUACCAUUUUAUACUAGAUAUUCAUUGAUUAUUGUCACGCAUGUUACAUAUUAUUAUUAUUAAUUAAUUAUUAUAAAUAAAUCUAUUUUUAUAACAUUGUGAUUUAUUUAUAUGAAAUACUUUCCACUUAACACGAUAACGAUCUUUGGGAUCUGAGAAUUGAAUUAGUGGGCAAUUCUCACUGUUUACUAUUAUUAUCCCAUAAAUAUCCCCACAGUAUCUCCUAAACAGUGCUUACACUGUGACCGUAUCACCUAAACACUGCUUACACUGUAAGCACAGACAUGCUUUUAUUCAAAAUUGAAAGCGCUCGAUUAUUCUUUCUAUUCUACACCUCCAAUCUUCAACAUUGAAAUUGUCAUUUCUAAUAAUAUAAAAUAAGUAAUAUGCUUUCUGGUUACGAUUGUCAGGAAACUGACAGGGAUCCAAUACGCAGAGUGCGCACAGAAGGAGGUACGUAUACCGGACCUUAGAAUGGCCGGACUAACGUAAGGACAAAGCAAGAAUAGUCAAAAGGUAAGCCGAGGUCAAGGGAGCCGGAGGACAGGUAAGCGAGAUACAAGCCGAGUCAAAGGAGAGGAGAGGACAACAGGACAAAAGACAAGCAAGGGUCAAAACCGGAAACACUAGCUAAAGAACGCGCUGAGUGACUAGCAAGCUAGAACCACGACAGGGCAAUGAGCAGUAGUAAAGGUUUCCUUUAAAUACCCUGUUACCUAAAUAGAGACCACGCCCCCAAAAGGUCCGGAAUAGCGGUUCCCGGCACUUUAUGCAAAUGCCGACGUCAUGACGUCGACGCUAGCCGUCGCGUCAUAAAAGGGGGAGGAGCUAGCGCGGCCGGCGCGAAAACGGCCGAAAUAUGCCGAAAUGCUAGGGGAAGGGAGCCCCUAAGCAGAGAGGAUGUCCUCCCUGGAUACAUCACCAACAGGUACCCUGACAGUACCCCCCCUUCUAGAAACGCCCACCGGGCGGAUGGGACCUGGCUUAGAAGGAAAACGAACGUGGAAGGCCCGUAGAAGACGAGGAGCAUGCACGUCUAUACCAGGAACCCAAGACCUCUCUUCUGGACCAUAACCUUUCCAGUCUAUGAGGUAUUGCAGCUUCCCCCUAGAAAUACGAGAAUCAAGGAUGGACUUGAUGAUAUAUUCCUCCUGACCAUCCACACGGACCGAGGAUGGAGGAGCAGAGCGGGAGGAAAAUCUGUUACAAACAAGAGGUUUCAAUAACGACACAUGAAAAGAGUUAGGGAUGCGUAGAGUAGGAGGUAGAUCCAGCAAAUAAGAAACCGGGUUGAUCCUCCUCAGUACCCUGUAAGGACCAAUGUAACGAGGAGCAAACUUCAAGGAAGGAACUUUCAGGCGAAUGUGUCUGGUACACAACCAGACCCUAUCCCCCGGAGAAAAAAUAGGAGCAGGACGUCUACGCCUAUCAGCAUGUGACUUAAACACCGCGGAACUACGUUCAAGAAUUUGUCGAGUCUGAUCCCACAACUUUCUCAGGUUGGCUAUAUGAAUAUCAACCGACGGUAUACCCUGGGAAGGAGACACCGACGGAAGAACAGUAGGGUUAAAGCCAUAGUUCAAGAAAAAGGGGCUAUUAUGAGUGGAACCACAAACAAGGUUGUUGUGAGCAAACUCCGCCCAAGGAAUCAGACCGACCCAGUCAUCCUGGUGUUCAGAAACAAAACAACGUAGAUAUUGCUCAAUUUUUUGGUUAGUGCGUUCGGCUGCUCCGUUAGAUUGAGGAUGAUAGGCCGAAGAAAAAUUCAGUUUGAUGCCCAACUGUGAACAGAAGGAUCUCCAAAAACGGGAAAUAAAUUGGGAACCCCUGUCUGACACAAUCUCAUUGGGAAUACCAUGUAAACGGAAAAUUUCUCUAGCAAAUAUCACGGCCAGUUCGGGGGAGGACGGAAGUUUAGGCAAGGGAACGAAAUGAGCCAUUUUAGUAAACCUGUCAAGGACCGUGAGGAUAACUGUAUGCCUAUUGGAAGCUGGUAGAUCAACAAUAAAAUCCAUAGCCAAGCAAGCCCAAGGUUUGUUGGGAACGACUAAGGGCUGCAAUAAACCACAAGGGAGAUCCCGCGGAAGUUUAUUCCUGACACAAACAUUGCAAGCCUUGACAAAGUCUUCCACAUCCCUACGUAAACCGGGCCACCAGAAGUCCUUUGAGAUCAGGCAGUAAGUUUUGUGGAUGCCGGGGUGACCAGCGAUCUUGCUAUCGUGGAAACAGCGAAUAAUGUCCACUUGGAAUUUGGGAGACACGAACAAGCGGCCCACAGGAGUACGUUCGGGAGCAAGAGAUUGUUCGUUCUGAAUAUCAGCGAGCAAUGGAGAGUGUAUUUUGACAUUGGUGUUGGCGAUAAUAUUGACUUCAGGAAUAAUAGGGAACAAAGUAUCCUCUGUAGAGGUGGUAGGUUCGUGCUGACGUGACAAAGCGUCUGCCUUAGUGUUCUUAGAACCAGGCCUGUAAGUAAGCACAUAAUUAAAGUGUGUAAGGAACAUAGACCAACGUGCCUGCCUGGCAGAUAAUCUUUUGGCCUCCCCCAUAUACGAUAAAUUUUUGUGGUCAGUCAAGAUAGUAACUGGGAGGACGGUGCCCUCUAACAAAUGUCUCCAUUCCUUUAAUGCCAUAAUGAUAGCUAAAAGUUCUCUAUCACCAAUGUCAUAUCUCCUUUCAGUGUGUGACAGUUUCUUGGAAAAAAAACCGCAAGGGUGCAGCGGCUUAUCUAAACUUUGUCUUUGGGAUAACACUGCGCCUAUCCCUGUUUCAGACGCAUCAACUUCAAGUAAAAAGGGUAGAGAGGUAUCAGGAUGAACUAAUACAGGUGCUGAGGCAAAAGACUGUUUGAGCGUUUCGAAAGCAGAUAAAGCCUCAGUAGACCAGGUUUUGGUAUCGGCUCCUUGUUUGGUCAUAUUAGUGAUAGGAGCGAUAACAGAGGAGUACCCUUUAAUAAAACGUCUGUAAUAAUUAGAAAAUCCAAGAAAUCUUUGUAUGGCUUUGAGUCCCUUAGGUAAAGGCCAAUCUAAAAUCGAUUUUAGUUUGGUCGGGUCCAUCAUAAACCCGUCUUUGGAAAUUACGUAACCUAAGAAAGUUACCUGAGACUGGUCAAAGCUACAUUUCUCCAAUUUACAAUACAAUCCAUGUUGUAAAAGUUUCUGUAAUACCUUUCUGACUUGUCUAUGAUGUGAAUUAAUGUCUCUAGAAUGGAUUAGUAUAUCAUCCAAAUAUACAAUUACACAUUCAUGUUGGAAUUCUCUAAGAACUUCAUUGAUCAAGUCUUGGAAGACGGCCGGGGCGUUACAAAGCCCAAACGGCAUUACGGUAUACUCAUAAUGCCCGUAACGGGUAUUAAAUGCUGUCAUCCAUUCAUCUCCUUGUUUAAUUCGCACUAAGUUAUAUGCUCCCCUUAAGUCAAGUUUAGUAAAAAUACUCGACCCCUUUAGUCUGUCAAAGAGUUCAGUAAUCAAAGGAAUAGGGUAAGCAUUUCUGAUAGUAAUUUUGUUCAAUCCCCGAUAGUCUAUACAAGGACGUAAGGUACCGUCUUUCUUUUCUACAAAAAAGAAACCCGCCCCCGCCGGAGAAGAAGACUUUCUAAUAAAUCCCUUGUCUAAAUUCUCCUUGAUAUAUUCCUCUAAAACUAAAUUUUCCUUGGUGGAUAGAGGGUAUACCGUACCCCUGGGAGGCAUAGUACCAGGGAAAAGUUUAAUAGAACAGUCAUAAGACCGGUGGGGAGGUAAAGUAUCCGCCUUACCCUUGUCAAAUACAGAUUUGAGGUCUAGAUAUUGUAAUGGUAUCUGAACGUCUGUGGAUUGAGAAGUGUUAGCAUAAGAGUUCACGGGGCAAACAGAAGUAACUCUCUGCAGACAUUCUUUCCUACAACCCAUACCCCAAGAAACGAUUUCUCCACCCUCCCAGUCAAUCUGAGGGUUGUGUCUCUUGAGCCAAGAAUAUCCUAGAACCACUGGGACUGCCGGGGAGGAAAUUAACAGAAGGGAAAUCAACUCUUCGUGGAAAAUACCAACAGUAAGCUUAACGGGUUCGGUCUCAUGGAAUAUUACUGGUUCAGAUAAAGGUCUACCAUCUAUGGCCUCAACGGCCAAGGGUGUAUCUCUCAAUUGGAAUGGGAUACAAUGCAUAUUAGCGAAAGUUUGGUCUAUAAAGCUUUCUGCUGCUCCAGAAUCUAAUAAUGCCAUCGUAGUAAUAAACCCCUUUUCCCAAGCUAGAGAGACAGGAAUCAGAAGCCUAUGGUCUUUUUUAUUAUGCAUAGAGGACAGUAAUGAAACACCCAAGGCCCGUCCUCUAAGGGAACUUAGGUGCGAGCGUUUCCCGGACGAUUAGGGCAACUGAGACGUAGGUGACCUCUCAGCCCGCAGUAUAAACAGAGACCCUCCCUUCUUCUGUACUGUCUCUCAGCCUCAGAUAAGCGAGUAUUACCUAUCUGCAUAGGUUCUGGUGGAGUAGGAUUAUAGGAGUCAGGGUUCUGAAAUGAGGGAGCGAGUCUUACAGGAAGUCUAGUAACUCUUUCCCGAGUGUUCUGCCUCUGUCUCAUGCGUUCAUCUAUUCUGGAAAUGAAGGAUACUAAAUCCUCUAAAUUUUCCGGAAGUUCUCUUGUGGCAAUUUCAUCUAGAAUUUCAUCAGACAACCCAUUCAAGAAAACAUCCAUAAAAGCUUGUUCGUUCCAUUUCACUUCUGCUGCCAAUGAUCUAAACUCUAGAGCAUAUUCUACAAGGGUCCUAUCUUGUUGUUUAAGGCGUAACAGGGAUCUGGCCGCAUUAAUCUUCCUCCCUGGGGGGUCAAAGGUUCUUCUAAAAGCCGUGACAAACGCAGUGUAGUUGUAGACUAAAGGAUUGUCAUUCUCCCAAAGGGGAUUGGCCCAUCUAAGUGCUUUAUCUAUUAGCAGGGUUAUAAUAAAGCCUACCUUAGCCCUGUCAGUGGGGUAAGCCCGGGGUUGUAGUUCGAAAUGUAUACUUAUCUGGUUUAAAAAACCACGACAAGCAUCAGGCGAACCCCCAUAUCGUAAUGGUGACGUGACAUGGGAAGAUGCGCCUACAGUGGCUACUUCCAAACCAGUACUUAGCGAGUGGCUAGCAGUGGAACGUAUUUCUUCAGACUGGGUACUGGAGCGUGUCAACAAAGUUUGUAGCGCUAAAGCCAUUUGGUCCAUUCUAUGGUCCAUGGCCUCAAAUCUGGGGUCAGGAGGACUAGCACCUGCAGGAUCCAUCAUGGCCCUGUCGUAAUGUCAGGAAACUGACAGGGAUCCAAUACGCAGAGUGCGCACAGAAGGAGGUACGUAUACCGGACCUUAGAAUGGCCGGACUAACGUAAGGACAAAGCAAGAAUAGUCAAAAGGUAAGCCGAGGUCAAGGGAGCCGGAGGACAGGUAAGCGAGAUACAAGCCGAGUCAAAGGAGAGGAGAGGACAACAGGACAAAAGACAAGCAAGGGUCAAAACCGGAAACACUAGCUAAAGAACGCGCUGAGUGACUAGCAAGCUAGAACCACGACAGGGCAAUGAGCAGUAGUAAAGGUUUCCUUUAAAUACCCUGUUACCUAAAUAGAGACCACGCCCCCAAAAGGUCCGGAAUAGCGGUUCCCGGCACUUUAUGCAAAUGCCGACGUCAUGACGUCGACGCUAGCCGUCGCGUCAUAAAAGGGGGAGGAGCUAGCGCGGCCGGCGCGAAAACGGCCGAAAUAUACCGAAAUGUUAGGGGAAGGGAGCCCCUAAGCAGAGAGGAUGUCCUCCCUGGAUACAUCACCAACAGGUACCCUGACAACGAUUUGGUGGGUUGUAACUAUAUUUUUUAUUUUUACAGUUCCAGAGGGAAGGAGCAAACCGCUUUGAGGAGUCCCUGCAUAAGAGACUAUUGGAUACUGAAGGGCUGUACUGCAGUGUCGGCUCUAGACUUGGCAAGGCCUUAGGCGAAACUCAUACAUGAGACCCCACGGAGAACACCAUUAUUGAAGAAAAAAUAGCAGUUGACUUUGUGUAUAAGAAGUAGUAGAUAUAUUGAUGGUGGAGCUCAGUGGUGUAUCCUGGUUUUGUGCUGCCCUAGGCAGGACAAAACUCAGACGCACCCCUCCCCCGCCACCCACACCCAACCCUUCCCCCCGCCCCGCCUUCUAAAUACACACACACACACAUUCACUGACAGAUAUGCAUACAUUAGCUAACAGAAACCGAUACACUCACUAACAGACACAGUCAGACACACACACACUAACAGACACACUCACACUCUCUAACAGAUACACUCAAUUUUUUUUUUAAAACUUACCCCCCCAGCCUCCUUACCUUUGCUAAUGCUGGGGGGGUUCUCUAUCUCCCUGGGGUCUAGUGGGGCUGCCGGUCGGGCUGCUGGGCUGGUUGCAGGGGGGGCAGACGGGCAGCUGGCGAGGGAGCACUUCCUCUGAGUUGUCUGCUCAGCUCCCUCACACGCCGCAUUGUGAGGCUGGG
rnacentral:lncRNA from 1 species